rnacentral:rRNA from 1 species
UACGGGGGGGGCAAGCGUUGUUCGGAAUUACUGGGCGUAAAGGGCUCGUAGGCGGCCAACUAAGUCCGACGUGAAAUCCCCAGGCUUAACCUGGGAACUGCGUCGGAUACUGGUUGGCUUGAAUCCGGGAGAGGGAUGCGGAAUUCCAGGUGUAGCGGUGAAAUGCGUAGAUAUCUGGAGGAACACCGGUGGCGAAGGCGGCAUCCUGGACCGGCAUUGACGCUGAGGCGCGAAAGCUAGGGGAGCAAACGGG